UGCUUCUAGUGAUUACUUGCAGGAUUCUAUGGUGCAGAAAAGCUGAAUUUCAUUUCUUAGCUUAUUCCUUAAAAUUGUUGGUUGAUGGAUCUUUCCUCAGCUUGCCUCAAAAGUCCUUGCUCAUCUCCACUCUAAGGCAUGGCUGCCUUUUUCCAGUAGGUAGCCCUGAACAUCACUAACACCAAGAGUGUGGAGCUCUCCAGGUGCAGAACUUGAAUAGCAGUUGAUAAUGAAAAGGAUGGUAAAGAGACGUUCACCCUCUUUUUGUGCCCCUGUCUGUCCUGGAUUUUUCCAUUGGCUUGCGGGAAUGGCACACAAAUUCCAGAGAGACUCAGGGUGAAAUAAUCCAUUUCUGGUCAUUCUACUUAUCCAGUCUCUGAAGGCACAUUGCUAUGAAAAACAAAGCAGAAAUAACAUGUACUCCACUUCUUUGCAUCUCAGAAGAGAGAAUAAAUCGAAUAAGACGUCUUCCAUUGUAAGAAAAAAAUUGCAUCACCCUGGAUGGCUGGGUCUUGCCAACUGACUUCUACUUGGGCUCAAUCUACAGGACUUACUGACAAAAAAUUAUAAAGCAGGAGGAAAAAGAGGUUGUGAUGCUUCAUCCCUAUGUUUGCCCACUUUAGGCCUCCUUUUUGGCAAUGACUGCAUCCUUUUAUGAGCUCAGCUCCUGUCUAUCUCUUUCUCCUUGCCUACAGAUCUCACUGGGGUCCUAUUGACACUAUCUCCUCCCCUUGCUCAUUCAGAACUAAAGAUGCUAAUUGCUUCCCACAGUUGUGCUUGUCUAGGUAUCUCAGCACUCCUUGUUACUCCCCUUAAACUCCCUUCACCCACACACACACACAUCUUUGAGUGAAGUAUUUGCUUCAUCAAAAUAUCUUGCAUCAUUUGAAUUGAAGUUUUCUUUUCUAUAGAAACUCUAGAUAAUAUAAUCAACAUAACUUGUUAUUAUAUGAAUUAUGAAUGUCGCUCCAGUAGAAGCUAGUGUUGAGCAAUUAACACAAAGUAAUGAAGCAAAGCCACUGUCUCUCAAAGAGAUGUUUUGUAGACCCAUGUUCCUAAGUACCAUUAUUCACAGCUAAAAUGCAAGAGCAACUCAGAUGUCCAUUGACAAAUACAUAAGCAAAACAUUUUACAUAAAAUGGAAUACUAUUCAGUUUCAAAAAGGAAAGAAAUACUACAUAAACUACAAUAGAGAUGAACCUUGAAGACAUUGUGCUAAGAGAAAUAAACCACUUGGAAAACAAGCAGUCUGAUUUUCCUUUUAUGAGGUAUUUAGACUAGUCAAAAAUCAUUGAGAAAAAAAGGUAAAAUGGUUUUUGAGAUGGUUUAGGGAACAGGGGAAUUGGCAGUUAUUGUUUAAUGGGUUCAGAGUUUCACUUUUGCAAGAUGAAAAGAGUUCUGGAGAUGAGUGGUACUGAUAGUUACACAACAAUGUGAAUUUACGUAAUACCACUGAGCUGUACACUUAAAAUGCUGAAGAUAGCAAAGUGUAUGUUAAGUGUAUUUUAGUAUAAUUUUUUUUAAUUGGGGGAAAAUGCCUCCUGUCAUAUUGCAGAAAAAUACUUUCUGUUCUUAUAUUCAAGAAAGUAUGUUUCAUUUGUCUAAGAGCCUAGAAAAAUCAGAGAAGCAUAUUCUAAAAAGUUUAAUAAAAACUGCUAAAUUUGUAAGUCAAAGGUCUUUAAUAAGGAUGGUAAUCUGUAAUCUAUUUUUUCACAGCACAGUCUAGAAAUAGAGCAAUGAAUAGAAAGUUUCAUAUUAGUCUUAUCUAACCUAUAAAAAUCUAAAAGUUUUUUUUAAGCAGAAACUCUUUAGAAACUUAAAUUUCCAAUUUCUCAGUAACAGAUCAUAGAGGAAUGGAAUCUACCUAUAAUUCUAGGCUUUAUCAGCACUUAAGCAAUACAUACAAUUGCCUCUAUCUAAAAUGCACCAAUAGACAUCUCUUCCCAAAGGUCAAUCUUAUGUCAAUCACAGUCAUCAUGGAUAAGCUAUAAAUGUUGUCUCAAAUGAAUCCCUGAGUGAGUACAGACCAACCAAAUCACAAAAUCUUCCUGUGUACUUUGACUAGAGAGUUCCUCACAGAAAGACACUGAACACAAAUAUUAGUUUUUUAAAAAAAAAAAUCUACUUCACAAGUACAUGAGCUUCCAGUUAAAAUGUUUCCUUUUUAUUUAACAAUGAUGCUUUGUUGAGCUUUAUCUUUGUUUUAUCUAAAACAAAAUAUAAUAAAUUUUUGAAAAGUAUCAGUGUAAAAGUCAGUACACUUUAAAGAUAAAUAUGUAAGCAAAUGCAUUUUAUAUAUUUUACUUCAUUCUUGACUAACAUUUAUUAAUUGUACACAUUAAUAGGUUUCAUAUUGAUAUUCCUACUUAUGCAUACUUCAUGCAUUGUUCAAAUCCAUCAUCCCUUUAACCCACCCUGACCUCUAGUAAUCAUUAUUUUACAGAUUGACUUUUUUAAAUCUUCCAUACAUAUGUGAUACUUGUCUUUUGGUAUCUAGCUUAUUUCACAUAACCUAAUGUCAUCCAAUUCCAUCCACUUUGCUCAAAAGACAGAGUUUCAUUCUUCUAUGUGGCAAAUAGCAUUCCAUCAUGUGUAUGUGUGUGUGAGUGUGAGUGUGUGUGUGUGUGUAUCUGUGUGUGUGUGUGUGUGUGUGUGUACUAAUCGACAGGCACCUAGGUUGAUUCCAUAUCUUAGUUAUUAUAAUAGUGAUAAAAUAAACAUGUGCCUGCACCAUCUCUUUACUAUGGUGACUUCAUUUCCUUUGGAUAUAUACCCAGAAGCAAGAUAGCCGGAUCACAAACUAGAUAAUAAUCAG